rnacentral:rRNA from 1 species
UGUGUUGUUGGGUAGGGGAGCGUUCUGUAAGCCUGUGAAGGUGUGUCGUGAGGCAUGCUGGAGGUAUCAGAAGUGCGAAUGCUGACAUAAGUAACGAUAAAGCGGGUGAAAAGCCCGCUCGCCGGAAGACCAAGGGUUCCUGUCCAACGUUAAUCGGGGCAGGGUGAGUCGACCCCUAAGGCGAGGCCGAAAGGCGUAGUCGAUGGGAAACGGGUUAAUAUUCCCGUACUUGGUGUUACUGCGAAGGGGGGACGGAGAAGGCUAUGUUGGCCGGGCGACGGUUGUCCCGGUUUAAGCGUGUAGGUGUGUGUUCCAGGUAAAUCCGGUUCACUUUAACACUGAGGCGUGACGACGAGGCACUACGGUGCUGAAGCAACAAAUGCCCUGCUUCCAGGAAAAGCCUCUAAGCAUCAGGUAACAUCAAAUCGUACCCCAAACCGACACAGGUGGUCAGGUAGAGAAUACCAAGGCGCUUGAGAGAACUCGGGUGAAGGAACUAGGCAAAAUGGUGCCGUAACUUCGGGAGAAGGCACGCUGACACGUAGGUGAAGUGAUUUACUCAUGGAGCUGAAGUCAGUCGAAGAUACCAGCUGGCUGCAACUGUUUAUUAAAAACACAGCACUGUGCAAACACGAAAGUGGACGUAUACGGUGUGACGCCUGCCCGGUGCCGGAAGGUUAAUUGAUGGGGUCAGCGCAAGCGAAGCUCCUGAUCGAAGCCCCGGUAAACGGCGGCCGUAACUAUAACGGUCCUAAGGUAGCGAAAUUCCUUGUCGGGUAAGUUCCGACCUGCACGAAUGGCGUAAUGAUGGCCAGGCUGUCUCCACCCGAGACUCAGUGAAAUUGAACUCGCUGUGAAGAUGCAGUGUACCCGCGGCAAGACGGAAAGACCCCGUGAACCUUUACUAUAGCUUGACACUGAACAUUGAGCCUUGAUGUGUAGGAUAGGUGGGAGGCUUUGAAGCGUGGACGCCAGUCUGCGUGGAGCCGACCUUGAAAUACCACCCUUUAAUGUUUGAUGUUCUAACGUGGACCCGU